rnacentral:rRNA from 1 species
AUACGGAGGGGGCUAGCGUUGUUCGGAAUCACUGGGCGUAAAGCGCGCGUAGGCGGUCUGCGUAGUCAGGCGUGAAAGCCCCGGGCUCAACCUGGGAACUGCGCUUGAUACUGGCGGGCUAGAGUACGGGAGAGGGUAGUGGAAUUCCCAGUGUAGAGGUGAAAUUCGUAGAUAUUGGGAAGAACACCAGUGGCGAAGGCGGCUACCUGGACCGGUACUGACGCUGAGGUGCGAAAGCGUGGGGAGCAAACAGGAUUAGAUACCCUAGUAGUCC